UUUCGUUUUAUCUGAUUAAACAUGCGAACAUAAACGACAACAUGUCUUGUUAAUGCUGCAUGUAGUAUUUGUUGGGAAACCUUAGUUUAACCCGUAUGAGAGUACUUUUCAGAAAUGGCCGCUGCUCCUUUAGUACCUGCAAGCAAUGUCUCUCAAUGAUGAUAAUUACACAGACCUGUACUGAAUGACUGUGACUGCACUUAAUUAUUCUGAUGUGAGACCCUUGCUUUAUAUCAAUUCAGCCGACUAAGGCCGUCCUGAGCACGUUGCAUGAAGCGGUCACGUGUUAGCCGGUCAGAGGAGGCUAACCUGCUAGCCACAGCCUGCUAAUGUAUCGAUUUAUACUCUGCUUUUCUAGAUGGUGGUGAAACAUCCUGAAACUGCAGCUUGCUGCGAAGGUCUAAGAAGAACAUGGCAAUGCUCUACAUAAGAUGUUAAAGGCUCUUCAAAGAUGAAGCACAAAGUCCUUUAGCAGGGUGGUCUGCACUGUCUGCUCACUAAGCUCUGAAAAGCAGCUGGACUCCUCACUGAGGUGGGGUUUGGCAAGAAGUCUGAGGCAGGAUGCCACCUGUCAACAUCUCAACAUAGCCAUUUGACUGGAUGCAUGAAGACCGGCCCUUACUGAAGUCUCAUGACUCACUGAUUCUUCCAACAUGAUGAGAUUCUGUCCUUAAGUUGAAGGUGCCGACUACGGACAUUUCAGAAGAUGCCAUCUUUCAGUGUUUGACCAGGGUCAAGCUGCCUGUCCAACUAUCUGUCGAAGCAAGAUGACCUAGAUCAACAUCUUUGCUGAACUGAGGCCAUGGUUAUCAGAUUUCCCAGUCUUGUUGAGGUCUGGCAACAAUGGCGCUAAGACGCAUGGGACUACUAAAGGUCCAACCGCAAGACGUCUCAAAUUCACUCUCGGCCCACAUUGUCACAGAUCUGCUGCACCACUGCCUGCUGCUUGGAGUGUAAAGACUCUGGCGUAGACUUGGCGGCUGUUGUGCUGCCAACAUGAUCACUGCUGUUCCUCUGGAGAGGCAUCAGAUCUUUACAUUAACAUGCUUAUGCAAUAUCCUCCCCUAUCUUAAAUGUAACCAGUUGACUGAGCAAACAGGACAGCUGUUCUUCUACCUAAGUGUGCCUUAUGCAUUGUAACUCCUUGAUUUUAAUUUGUUUUCUGGAACUGGAAAAUUCUAUGGUGUGAACUUUAAAUAAAAUAUAUACUGUGUA